CCUACGGGUGGCAGCAGUGGGGAAGAUUGGGCAAUGGAGGCAAGUCUGACCCAGCAACGCCGCGUGAAUGAUGAAGGUUUUCGGGUUGUAAAGUUCUUUUCUCAGGGACGAAGCAAGUGACGGUACCUUAGGAAUAAGCCUCGGCUAACUCCGUGCCAGCAGCCGCGGUAAUACGUAGGAGGCAAGCGUUAUCCGGAUUUACUGGGCGUAAAGGGUGUGUAGGCGGGUGUGCAAGUCAGUAGCGAAACCCACGGGCUCAACCUGUGAACUACGACUUAAACUGUUGUUCUUGAGUGCAGGAGAGGCAGACGGAAUUCCUAGUGUAGCGGUGGAAUGCGUAGAUAUUAGGAGGAACACCAGUGGCGAAGGCGGUCUGCUAGACUGCAACUGACGCUGAGGCGCGAAAGCGUGGGGAGCAAACAGGAUUAGAUACCCGUGUAGUC
rnacentral:rRNA from 1 species